rnacentral:lncRNA from 1 species
AUUCUGUCUAUGCAAGUCUUCCUGCAGGUUGGUGUUUAAGCUAUACUUGUGUGAAUCGAGACCGCCAUCCCAUGGUUGCUCUCAGAUUUGUUCUCAGAGAGAUAAAUGGCUGUUACCCCCCGCCCACCUUUCUUUACAGGGUGGUUGUACUGAAACAAAAGACCACGUCCUUCAUAUAUUCAGUGCUGUGUUUUGACAUGCUGUGUAUUGAGUUAAACCUCUUCCCAGCUGCCAAAAACCUUCAACUUCACUUACCUAUGGCACGUAACUUUCAGUGCUCUGAAAAGUUAUCGAAGGGCAGGAGGGCACAGGAAAAGAAUAAAACAAAGAGAUUUUACAGCCAGACUACAGUGAACCUGCAGUAUAGUUAUACUGGUACCAUAAAGGAAUCAUUUUGGAUGCUGCUACUUUUGUUUGCCAAGCUUCUUAUUGGUACCACAAGUCAACGCUUGCUGGAAAACGCCACCCUUGGAAAACAACCUGUAACGUACGACUGCUGUCUCUUCGUGUAUUUUCUGCUCAGAUCUUAACAUGCGCUUCCUCUGAAGGCCACCAGCGAUAAUAUUCACUCCCUCUCCAGAACCACGUGAGUAAAUACCUCCUCACGCAGGUGAGGAUUGGGCUGGGCACAAACAAGAGGAGGAUGCCAAGUAAACACAGGACUGCUGGGCAGCUUUGGUGGAUCCCAGUGCUAUUGUCUGGGUAAUUCAGGGGAAGGUUUCACUAAAAUGGUGUCCUUGUCACGCGAAGCACGGAAAACAGCUUCCCCGCUCCGGCUAGCAGUGGUCCGUGAGUAACUUGCCUGCAUGACGGCCGCCGGCCAGCAGGGGGCGCCUGCUUCGUGCAGCCCCUGGGCUGUUUAAUGCCUGGGGCCUCCGUGCACGAACGAGGUCGUUGCUGCCCGCGAGAGGCUGUGUAGCGAGGCCCCGCCCAGGUGCUAGGGCAGCCUUGCAGGGUGAAUGCCUUCCUUAGCGGUGAAGGCAGCUGGAAGUUUGCUGAUGGACAGUGUGAGCUGACCACUCCUCUUGCGAGGUCACACCCCCUGCAGGAUGCUUAGACCAAGUCAGGACUCAGCAGGGGCUUUCAGUCAUCCCACUGGCUGUAGGUGUUAAGGUUUUGCAUUUGCUUUCAAAGCAACCAGAAGUAAUGGUGUUUUUUGUUUGUUUGUUUGUUUGUUUGUUUGUUUCGUUGCACAUCUCCCCACUUGCUUGGGAGGAUCUGCCCGGAAAAUGGGGAGCUGCAGCCCCCGGGGAAUAGCCAUGCUGUUGAUGGGAGGCUGGGGACAAUGGUGAGACUGUUCCACUGUAGGAAAGGCAGCUGAAGGCUCAGACAAGAGGAGCACGCGGGAACAGGCUUUGUGGCUCAGGCUCUGCAUGAAAGCGCUUAGCACAGGACAGGGAGCACAGUUUCAGUCCCAGGUGUCUACCUGUCUUUGGUUAUUCAAUGCAUAGUGGUUAUUAAAAUGAAGAAAUCAGAAUUCCUGAUCCAGCUUGUUCUUAUUUUUCCCUCUCUCUCUCUCUCUCUCUCUCUCUUUUUUUUUAAUGAAACAGAAGUCUGAUUGUGGUGCCAUCCAUGUAACAGAAUGCUGUUGGUGUGUGCUGGUGUUCUCUGUUCAUGCACGUAAACCUGGGACUCCCAGGGAACUUAAGAAGCAUGAGCCUUGUUUGUGAAUCUCCAGAUGGGGGCAGACAUUGAGAUGCACGGCUAGAAUAUUAGGCUGGGAUUGAUUACCCCAGUUCAGCUGUCAGGGAGCAGAAAGAAUUAAACCAAAGUCUCCUGGAUCCCAGGAAAAUGGCAUUACCGAUACCUCAACAUUUGGAGCAUCACAAUCAUAGAAUCACAGAACAGCCAAAGGACCAUCUAGCACCAUGUCCAAUCACAUCUUGAAAGCCUGCAGCAAUGGGGGAUUCCACCACAUCCUCGGGGAGGUUGUUCCAGUCAUUGACUGUUUUCACUCUGAAAAAUUUCAUUCUGAUAUCAAGGUGAAGCCUCUCCUGGUGCAUCUUGAAUCCAAUGCCCCUUGUCUUCUCUGUGUUGCUCGCUGUGAAGAGACAGCCUCUGUCCUCUUUGUAGCAACCCUUCCAGCGCUGAAUACAGUACUGAGGCCCCUGAGUCAUCUUUUGUCAUGGGUAUAAAGACCUACCUCCUUCAGUCUGUCACCAUACGGCUUCUUCUCCAGCCUUUUGAACAAAUUUCAGGGCCUAAUUUGAAUGACCCCCCCCAAUUUGUCCACAUCUUUUUUUUUCUUUUUUUUUUUUUUUUCUUCCCUUCCCAUAUUGCAGGAUCCAGACCUGGACACAGUGCUCCAUGUGUGAUCUGACAAGCACUGAGUAGUGUGGGAUGAUCACAUCUCUAUCUCUGCUGAUAAAGCUCCCAUAGAUGCAGCCCAGGGUGCAAUUAGCAUCCCGUGAUUGCUGCUGACUGCUGGUCAGCUGUGGUCCCCCAGGAUCCCCAGGUCUCUUCCAGCAAGGCAGCUCACAGCCACACAGAUCCCUGCCUGUGCCGGGCUCUUCAGGUGCACUGUCCCAGGAGCAGGACCUGGCUCCUGUGUUUGUUAAGCAUCACACAGCUCUUGCCUGCCUAUUCCUCCAGCCUGGCCAAUUGGAUACUAAACAAAAUAAAAAGUGGUAAAACAAAAAGUAUUCUUUCAAGACCUGGGUGCUCUGCAUGCCCUACCAAUGCUGGUAGGUACUUAACCUCCCUCAUUUUCCCAACAGCAUCUGGAGGGAGUCUUCAUUGCCUCCCCGUUAGGGGUAAUGGCUAACUAGUAACAGCCUGUGUGCAUGAACAUCACCCACCCAGAUCCCAACCUAGCCAUUCCUACAAGGCCCAGGAAAUGUUCCUCAUUCUCACUCAUUCUUACAGGAAAUAAAGCAAAUCUCAGCUCAGUCCUUACCGAUUUUCCUAGUCAAAACCAUAAGAAAACCAAACAGGCCCAGUAAAGGAUGGCUGGCUACACCUUAGCUGUUGCUUAUCUGUGAGACAAUGGAGUAAAUCAGAUAAAUCUAAGGGAAAAGGAGGGGAGGGCUGUGCUCCUUACUGUUGUUCAUUUAGCUUAGGUGAGUGCUGGAUAUUGCUAGAUGCCUUCAAAUUUCAAUUUUUAAAGAUGUUGCUGAAGGGGUGGGAAAGCAUAUAUGAGAAGGAGUGUGAUUGAUGUGAACAUUCUUGCCUAUUUCACUUCACUUGUCCAUCUUUUUCUCACUUCUGAGGUUUUGUUACCUCUAAUAAAAACACACAUAUUGCUGGUGAUUCUGCUUGUGAAAAAAAAAAAAAGAUAUAUUUGGCACAUGAGAAUGGUCAUGUGAAGUCAAAGAAGACACAGAACUCUCCUGAUUAAUGUAUUUGUAUAAUUAUUAAUUCUGUAAACUGUCUCUGGAAUCUAAAAUGUAAUAAGGCAGAUGUCUUUUCUCUUCUAACCUCUUGUGCUGUGAGGACAAAAUCUCAUGAAUUUUUCGUGACUCUCCUGAAUCGAGUCUCCUGAAUAAAAUUAAUUACUUAAAAAAAUUGCUCUCUGGGAGACCUAAUUCUCUUUUAUUAUGAGCUGCUGACAUAUUUCUCAUCUGUUGUUGAGACAAAUGAUUUUUGAAUCUUUACUUCUUUUUCCUCAAAAGCCUGCUGCCUUUCCAGAGAGAUUUUCAAGAAGCAGUGACCCAGAAUCUCUCAUUUCUACCUUUCUAAGUUGUCUUCAAACGUAAGAGCAGACUGCUGGCUAGGAAGAGCGAUGUUUGCACUCGUAAGGGAGGUGGCACUACAGGAGUGAGUCAGGGUGUGGGGUGUACAUGUCUUUGUGCAAAAACUAGGAUUAAAACUAGUCCUUCAAGCUGCCUGCUGUGGUGAGAAGGGAGAGGGGUAGCAUAGCAGCACCUCUGUAUGGAGGUUUGAGAGCAUUGCUUUAUCACUGAAUUUAUUCUGUAUUUAUUUAUUGGCACUGAUUGCCAAUCAUCUUGGCAUCUUCAGGGAGGUCAACCACCUCCUGGGACUGGCAGGUUCAGCAAGGGAGGAGGGCAACAGAACUGAAAAUGGGUCACAGAAGUUCCCGGUGACUUUAGACUUUCCUAGGCGUGUGCACAUUUAAUAAAUGCAGUCAAACCUUGUGGUGAUGUGGCUUACUUACCAUAGAAUCACUAGUGUUGGAAAAGACCUCUAAGGUGAUCUAGUGCAACCACCAACCCAUCACACCAUGCCCACUAACCACGUCCAUCAGUGCCACACCCACACCGUUCCUGAACUCCUCCAGGAUGGUGACUCCACCACCUCCAUUGGCAGCCUGUGACACUGUAUCACCACUCUUUCUGAGAAGAAAGUUUUCCUAAUAUCUAAACUGAAUAGUGAAUACUGGAGCUUAUAAUAAAAAAGAAUCAGGUCUUCCAGAGGGCAAUUUUCAACUAUAAUUGAUUUUAUUCAGUAGAGUUAUCUGUUACUUCUUGAUUCAGACCUCAGCAUACCCUCCAGGGUAUGCAGUAGUCUACAUACUAAUAUAAUCUGGAAUGGAAGUUGUGUUUCAGUUUCUCCUGCAGGGAAUGUGGCUUACAUGUACCAGGGACAGUCUACAGACUGGCCCAACGCAUGGCAAGUUUGACAGAUAGUUGCUUUACUGCUGGGGACUACAGUAGCCUUCAGACACACUAAGAAGCCCUUGUGAUGUGGAGUUAUUAGUCCAUGUGCUUUAGAAGGUCAGAACCUGAAGCACUAGACUCUUUGUUAGCAUGUAGUUAAUUACCAUUCAUUUGAAAAUACUUUUUUUCCCUCAAAUAAGUUAAAAUAAUAGAAUAAUAGAUAAAAAAACAUGUAUUUAUUUAACCAGGUUUAUUUUUUAUUAUAUUUACAUAUUUAACUAGUUCUUAAUUUGAAGCGCUCAAAACAGUUCAGCUUGCUUCAGUCCUAUACAUUUUUUUUUUAUAGUUUUAUGAACUGUGCAAUCUUCAGACCUUUGCAAUAACUUCAUACCUCCACCAAUAUGCUUUGUUUCAGUGUGUCCUGCUACAGGGAGGGUGUGCCAGACAUCUUGUUCAACACAACCAUAAAGAGACCUGAAAGGUUGUGUUCACUGCCUUCUAUCUCUGACAGAUAGUAAGUUGCCUUUAACGUGGCAAAAACUUCAAGUACAUAGGUGUAUGACACUAGCAGACAUCUCAUGAGUGGCACAGGUUUGUGAGCUGCCACUCUAACCCUGAGACAUAUCAUGCAAUUAAGUGGGUCAUAUGAGGCAACAAGGCUGCUGCUAAAAUUCUGUGCUGAGGUCUUCCCAGUUGAUUAAAUUAAAGAUCUGCCUCCUUUGUGAUGUUCAGAAGUACUCGGUUUCAUGCAUUCCCAGGUGGGAUUUGCAUCUGCUCCAUUAGAAAUAAGACAGCUUUGUCUUUUCCUUGCACCAACAUGCAAAGAAGUUUUUUUUUUGAAAAAGGAAAUCUAAUUUAAAACAGUUAACACAGUCUUUACAACUGAGUCACAUUUCUGGUCAUUUCAUGUUUCUCACGUUGUGUAAAACAAUAAAUAACUGACUCAAGAUUGAGGUUUCUGCUCCUGGAGCCAGGCUCCCCAGCAGUAGAUGAGCUAUUUAGUAUCACAGAGUUUAAGACCUUUUUUAAAAG